rnacentral:rRNA from 1 species
AAUCAACGCUGGCGGCGUGCCUCAGACAUGCAAGUCGAACGAUUAAGACUCCCUUCGGGGAGUGCAUAAAGUGGCGCACGGGUGAGUAACACGUAAGUAAUCUACCUUUGAGUGGGGAAUAACAACCGGAAACGGUUGCUAAUACCGCAUAAUGCAGCGGCACCGUAAGGUGACAGUUGUUAAAGGAGCAAUCCGCUUGAAGAGGAGCUUGCGGCAGAUUAGCUAGUUGGUAAGGUAAUGGCUUACCAAGGCUACGAUCUGUAUCCGGUCUAAGAGGACGGUCGGACACACUGACACUGAAUAACGGGUCAGACUCCUACGGGAGGCAGCAGUCGGGAAUUUUGGGCAAUGGGCGAAAGCCUGACCCAGCAACGCCGCGUGAAGGAUGAAGUAUUUCGGUAUGUAAACUUCGAAAGAAUGGGAAGAAUAAAUGACGGUACCAUUUAUAAGGUCCGGCUAACUACGUGCCAGCAGCCGCGGUAAUAC